rnacentral:rRNA from 1 species
GACGAAGGGGGCUAGCGUUGUUCGGAAUUACUGGGCGUAAAGGGCGCGUAGGCGGCCCGCUAAGUCGAACGUGAAAUCCCCAGGCUCAACCUGGGAACUGCGUCCGAUACUGGCAGGCUUGAAUCCGGGAGAGGGAUGUGGAAUUCCAGGUGUAGCGGUGAAAUGCGUAGAUAUCUGGAGGAACACCGGUGGCGAAGGCGGCAUCCUGGACCGGUAUUGACGCUGAGGCGCGAAAGCUAGGGGAGCAAACGGG